GUACCACAGCUGGAAACCUCCUUCAGGUUUUCAGUGAUGAGGGAGACAGGCCCAAGUGGUUGCCAAGCCAGCCACAAGUUGGCCCCGGUCACUUCCAUCUAUCCCUUUCAAGCCCCACAUCCCAGUUGAGCGCCUAAUUGCUCCCUAAAGUCUGUAGCCCUCCAGGGUAC
rnacentral:lncRNA from 1 species